rnacentral:misc_RNA from 1 species
AAGAAGAAGAGAGGAAGAAGAGAGAGGAGGAAGAGGAGUAUCAAGAUGGUAAUGAAGUUAGAGAGAUGUAUGUGGAAACUACAGAUUCUGAGGCAGACUAAGUUGUGUUCUUCCUCAAGUUCAGUGUUGGAAAUGGUAUCAAGUCAAUUUUGCAAAAGCAGAAUAAAACGGAGUUAGGAUGUUAGAAGUGUAACGAAUGUAAUAGCAAGAUGAAGUUGGGUUUUGAUGUUAGAAGUGG